rnacentral:misc_RNA from 1 species
UCCGGUUUGGCACCGGCAGUCUCCUAUGAGUCCCCAACUGAAUGAUGGCAACUAGUGAUGGGGGUUGCGCUCGUUGCGGGACUUAACCCAACACCUCACGGCACGAGCUGACGACAGCCAUGCAGCACCUGUGCACGCUGGUAUUGCUACCUCGUUAGACUUUCAUCCUCCUACUACGUGCAUGUCAAGGCCAGGUAAGGUUCUUCGCGUUGCAUCGAAUUAAGCCACAUACUCCACCGCUUGUGCAGGCCCCCGUCAAUUUCUUUGAGUUUUAAUCUUGCGACCGUACUUCCCAGGCGGCAUAUUUAUCGCGUUAGCUUCGCCACAAAAGGGGUCGAAUCCUUUUACAGCAAAUAUGCACCGUUUACAGCUAGGACUAC